AUCGCUUCUCGGCCUUUUGGCUAAGAUCAAGUGUAGUAUCUGUUCUUAUCAGUUUAAUAUCUGAUACGUCCCUUAUCUAGGGACCAUAUAUUAAAAAACAAUCGGGUACUAAGGAAAAUUCAACAGGAUUCGGCAUCUGGGAUUCUCAUAGUACCUGAUUGGCCUACACAACUAUGGUUCUCGGUGAUACAGGAU